GUGGGGUGGCAACAUCGCUAGUAUAUAAUAAUUACACUCAUGAUUAAAAUGUUAAGACCAGUUGAAAAAUUGCAAGAAUUUGCAUUUUGCACUGUUGGAUUUUAAGAAGGUUCUAAGUAGAGUUUCAAAAUGCAAAAAGAACAAAUGGGAGCAAGAGAAAAAAAAUCUAAGCAAGUAAUUUAUUGAAAACUGCAUUUAAACUCAAACAUGCUUUUGUCAGCUGAUCAAAAGAUUAAGUCCACAGCCUUUAAAAAACAAAAUCUGCGCAAAAAUUUGGAUUCCAUGUCAUUUCCUGUCAGGUAUUCACACUGUCAUGAACUCCUGAUGGCAAAGGCAAAAAACUUCUUGUCUUUGAAGAUCCUGAGGGUUAUAGAGCAAAAAAAGUCAAGUGGUAGACCCAAAAAACUUUCACCAGCGCUGAGCUGGAGGAUCCAAUGAGCUGUCCGUCAAGACACGGGAUGAUCUGUGACCCAAAUUAAAGCCAUUACUGGUGCUGACUGCAGUCCAAUAACCAUCUGGCGGCAUCUGCGAGGCAAGGCCUUAAAAAACAAAAAGCAUCUUCAACAUCCACAUCUUCUUCAAUGCCACAACAUCGCCAGUUUGGACUUUGCAAGAGAGCACCGAACAUGGGAGACUGAAAGGUGGAAGAAAGUUUUAUUCUCCAACAACAAAAAAUGUAUCCUUGACAGUCCUGAUGGCUUCCAAUGUUACUGGCAUGACAAGUAGAUCCCACAGGAGAUGUUUUCUACGUGGCUCCAUCAUGAUCCGGGGUGCUUUUUCCUUCAGUGGAACAACAGAGCUUCAGGUUGUGUACAGACUUCAAACAGCAGCUGGCUAUGUGGAGAUGUUGCAGCGGGCCUCGUCUGUGUGGUAAUGACUGGGUCUUUCAACAGGGCAACGCUGCAGUUCACAACACCCACCUGAUGAAGGACUUCUUCCAGGAGAAUAACAUCACUCGUUUGGACCAUCCUGCGUCUUCCCCUGAUCUAAAUCCAACUGAGAACAUUUGGG
ensembl:lncRNA